ACCAUUUUCUGGAAAAAGAUGAACAUCUGUAAGGACAGCCAGCUAGGCUGUUACAAGGCCUCCUCCUUCCAUCACCCCACAGGGAGUAAAUCUGGGCAGGGAAGGACCCAGCCAGAUGUGGAUGUCUGCAUGCUGCUGGGGCAACAUCCGUCAAAAACUUCCAAGUCUCACCCAGACAAUGGGGAUCACGAUGUUAAUAAUGAAAUCUAGGGAGUUCCCGUCAUGGCUCAGUGGUAACAACCCAACUAGGAACCAUGAGGAAGCAGGUUUGAUCCCUGGCCUCGCUCAGUGGGUUAAGAAUCUGGCAUUUCUGUGAGCUGUGGUGUAGGUUGCAGAUGCAGCUCAGAUCCUGUGUUGCUGUGGCUGUGGUAUAGACCAGCAGCUGCAGCUCUGAUUUGACCCCUAGCCUGGGAACUUCCAUAUGCUGCAGGUGCAGCCCUAAAAAGAAAAAAAAAAUAAUAAGCUUAAUAAUGAAAUAAUAAUAUAAAUAGUCAUUUGUGUUCUGAACUUUCACGAAUCCAAGUGACUAAAGUGUAUGGACCAGCUUCUUCACUCCUCACAUUCAUUCUGUGGGAGAAAGAAGUAACCAGAGAAUCCUGAUGAGCGUGGUUGCUGGAAAUAAAGACACAGCAAUGGAGGUUGGUAGAACCUGUGCCUCCACCCCAGUAUCCUUAGCAAAAGAAUUGUUAAUGCAGUGUCAAGUGGAAUCAUGUGCCUUUCCAAUGUCUAGACUGCCCUGGAGCAAUGUGAGAGGGAAAGUUUGGACCUUCUGCAGUUGCCAAUAACUGCCUGAAAAAAAACCCUACAAGAAUAGCAGUUUCAUAUGGAUUUAAAUGAAUUGUUUUUAGACUUAAUACAGAACUUGAUCCACUGAGAAUAGUUUGUCUGCUGCAAAACAGAGGAGUUUCCAGGUGGCUUAGCAGGUUAAGGAUCACUGAUAUAGCUUGGGUCACAGUGUGAGGAAGUUCCCAGGCCAGGGAUCAAACCCACAUCAUAGCAGCCACCUGAGCCAUAGCAGUGAUGAGAUCCACCAGGGAACUCCACCGUUAUACCUAUUUGCUCCCUAAUGCCUUUGUGUUUGUUUCCUGCAGCAGCUAUAACAAAUCAAUACAAACAGCUGGCUCAAAGGACAGAAAUUGCUUCUUUCAAAGCUCUGGAGGACAGAAGUCAAUCAGCAGGACCACAUUCCUUCUGGAGGCUCUGGGGGAAAAUCUUCCUUAGCUUUUUAGGCUUCUGAGGGCUGCAAUGUAGACAUAUCUUUGGAGCCCUAUUCAGUCUACUACAUACUUCAACCUAUUCACAUCCAUUCCAAAGCGCAUGCACACACACACACACACACACACACACACACACACACACACACACACACCUCUACUUAACCAACCAUCACUAUCAGUAGCACUGAUAGGUGACUUCUUAUUUUUUAGGAUUCAAGAUCAGUUUUCGGUUUCCAUGAGAUUUUCUACAUUACCAGGCAUUCUUAGCAGCUCUGGACUUGUCUACUCUCCUUGCUGAACUUCUAUGAUUCCAUUUUCCUGAUGCCAUUCUUCCCACCAUUCCUUUUCAGGUUAACUGGCUGGUACCACUUCCUCCUCCAUGCACCUCUAAAUGGCAGUAUACACCAGAGAACCUCCUCUUUUCUCCUUACCUUUUGCUUUCUCUGGAUAAAGCUAUCCACUCGCAGAACAUUCAACUCAAGUCUUUGUGUUUGUUACUGAAUCAUGACCUUAGACCCUUCAAUCAAUAGAAAUUGAUAAAAAGCCAAGAAAAGGAUUUCAGGCCAGGCUUUAUCAGGACUCAUUCUGCAGCCCAAGGGAGUGAAAAGAAGUAACCAGUUCCCUUGUUCACCCACCAGGAGGGAGGUGAGCUGCUUCCUUAAAUGGAGCGAGGGUGGCGACAGAUCAAUGGGUCAGGCAGGAGGGGUGGUUUCAGUAGCCUACCCACUCCCAUGGUGGAGCCUGGAUCAUGCACGGCUCCCUGCUUCUGCUCUCAGCACCUCAGAAAGGGCAGUUGGUUUGUGGCCUAUUUGCAUCUUAUUGUUCAUAACUGCCCCAACUGUGCAUGCAUGCAGUUACUUUUAGUCCCUUAUAGUUUCUUUGUAUUCUGUUGCUCCUGGAACAUUUGUCCAGGUAUAAAUGCAAGCACUCCAGUAAAGGGCCCCACAUCGCAGGUCCCAGGCUAUCUCAUGUGGAGUUUGCCCAGUCUGAAUGCCAUCCACCUUCUUGCAUGACUUUCCACACCAGCACUGUCCAGUGGAACUUCCUGCUAUCAUGGGCAUAUUCUAUAUCUAUGCUGACCUACACAGUAAGUCGCUGGCCAAAUGUGGCUGUUGAAUAUUUGAAAUGUGGUUGGCUCCUAAGGAAUUGCAUUUUAAAUUCUUGUCCUUUUAAUAAAUUUAAAUAGUCACAUGUACUUGCUACCUUAUUGAUCAGUGCAAAUCUAAAGUCCCUUCUCCCCUCUGUGACAAUCCUAGUGAACUUAUUCAUUCACAUAAUAUGCCUUUCUACUGGGUGACAUUUCAAGCCUCAACUGUCACCUCCUCUGUGAAGCCUUUUCAACCAUUCCAGGUUAAACUAUCAGUUGCACUUUUGUCUUUCCAUAACUCAUUUUCCAUUAUUGUAUAUAAAAUUAUGGUCAUAUAAUAAACAUAUAACAUGCUAUAUAUGAUAUUAUAUUUUAUAUAAAUAUAUAAUUUUACAGUUUUAUAUGCUUGAACGCCAAGAAAAGAAAGACUGUAUCUUAAUUCAUUCUGUAGUCUUUCGAUCUGGUACCUGACCAUUGAAUCAAUGAAAAAAAUGGGUGACUCUGUUGCUUAGAGAUCACCCUUCAUGAUGAGAGGUAAAGCUUAACAAGGUGCAGGCUCUAAAAAACGAGCUUCUGCUUCCUUUCAUAAUGCCCUCAUGAGAACAGCCAAGUCCAAUAAUUCAAGAAGGUUUUGCAUCCAUUAAUUGGAUGAUAGGGAAUCUUGUAUUUGGGGUCUGUUUGGUUUUUUUUAAAUUAUUCUUAUUACAGCUGACACACAAUGUUCUGUCAAUUUCUGCUGUACAACAAAGUGACCCAGUUAUAAAUAUAUAUACAUUAUUUUUCUCAUAUUAUCCUUCAUCAUGUUCCAUCACAAGUGAUUAGAUAUAGUUCCCUGUGCUACACAGCAGGAUCUCAUUGCUUAUAAACUCCAAAUGCUAGUUUGCAUCUACUAACCCCAAAUUUCCAGUCCAUCCCACUCCCUCCCCUCCCCCUUGGCAACCACUAGUCUGUUCUCCCCUGUCCAUGAGUUUGUUUGGUUUGGUUUUGGUUUUUAAUGAGUUGCAGUUUUUAGCUUUAAACACUGGAAGUUAACAUGGUUAACUGGGUACAGGAGCCAUUUGGCUGUCACUCUUCACGCUUAAAGUGCAAAUCAUUCUAAGAAUCACUCUUCUCUGAAAUCUGAACUAUGGUGAUUUGGAGAAUUCCAAAGAGUGAUGCAUAAUUUUUUUGAAAUUAAAGGGAAAAAAAAGGCUGAUAUUUUUGCUAAAAGAGGAAAGGUGAGAAAAAGCAAAAAAAAAAAAAAAAAAGAAAAAGAAAAA
rnacentral:lncRNA from 1 species